UUUGUAAACUUUUCUUAAUGCAACGACACAUCUAUCCUGUGUAUUCAAGAAUAAUAAUCUUGAGCCCAAUUCCCUUAUCUGUUUCUACAACUAGAUGACCCGGUGCGCCAAAUGGCGCAGAGACCCAAUUGAAACCAUGUUCGUGUUGAGAAAUAUUUGCCUUUUUUAGUAACUUUAUGUUUGAUCAAGCAUAGAGACCAUGUCAAACCCGAAGUGUUUUGAACGUGUAUUUGGACAAUGUGCCAUUUGGCUCUAUGUUACCCAAGUAAGAUGCAAGGUCCAAAUUCAAGCAUCAAGGGUAAUGAUUCUAAACCUUUUGUAACAGAAACCUUUGCAUUUGUUAGUAACUUCGAGUUUUAGCAAGCACUGAUGGUAAUAAUUCUAAACCUUAUAUAUGGAAAAUUAAGGAAUACCUAUGUUCAAACUAUAUACUUUAGCAUGUGAAACUAAUUCAAACUAUACAAGUUGAAAUAUUUAGAGACCGGUCAUAAAAUUGCCGGCUCCACUCUACUGCGACGCGAGAGCCGGCUUGCUGCACCUUCCCCACAUAAUUGGCCAGAAGGUAUUUUAAAAAUUUGAAUUGUCUACAUUAGUAUUUCUUAGACAUCAUAUAGGAGAUGAGAGAACAGUAAAAAAAUUUAACUAUGUACCUUAGCUAUCUAAGACUAAUGAAAACUGCAAUCUUGAAAGAGGAAAACAACAUUGGAAAUCCUAAUGUUCCUGGUCCUGAAUAGUGUAUUCGUCUAAAUAUGUAGUUGAUCACCCGGUGCAAAGUAAGAAACUUCUCAUGAUAUAACGCUGGGAACCUAAAAGCAAGUGUAUGAUUUUGCAGCUUAGAAUGUGUGAACUCACAACUCAGACAAACAACUCAGACAACUCAGCUUAGAAUGUACACGCCUAAACGCUGGGAAGAACCUAAAAGUAAAAAACAUUCCAAGGGAAAAUGUGUGAACUCACAACUCAGACAAACUACUAACAGGGCCAUGUAUGAUUUUGCAGCUUAGAAUCUACAUAAAACAGAACAGUGCAGGUAACCUCUACCUAAAUCUCACUACUAACUUUAUUCGAACAUUUAUUCUUAGAUCAUCGGUACUCCUUUUAUGUACAAAUCAUGCAAUAUCUCUAUAAAUCAAUGCCAAUGCACGCACAUGCACAAGUCUGAACUAAACAAUAUAUAUGAUAUAGCAUAAUUAUAUGAUCUAGAAUAGAUGCAUGAUCAGGGGAGGAAGAUGGUGAAGCCAAAGAUGACUGCUAAAGUUUCGCUACUCCUUGAUCAUCUUGCCCAAAACUAAGGAUAUAGCUUCACCAGAUCUUCGACAAGAAAAUCAUGCAACUCCACCGCAAAUUCAACCCCAGUAGGUCCACCACCGAUAAUCACAAAGUGAAGGAUCUUCCUUCUCUCCUCUUCACUGAGGUUAGGAGGUGACGCCUUUUCAAAGCAGUCUAUCACGCUCUUCCGAAUCUUUCGGGCAUCCUCCACGACCUGGCAUUUACAAUGUGAGGCUGUAAGCACAAGAUAUGACUAAUACUGUACGGUACAAUAACCUAAAGUAUCAAUACCAUAUAUCUCAAGAUUUUGCAGGAAAUUAAACUGUAACUUACAUCUUAGGAUUGAAACAUGAGAAAUAGCAGAACAGUAAAGAGACACACAAUGCCAAUAAGGAUUUGACCUUCAGAAAGUGGCAAUGCCCCAUCACACCAGGAGUGUUGAAUGUAUUCACAGUAACUCCAAGAGCAACAACCAAGUAAUCAUAAUCACCAUGAAAUCACCAUUCCCGUCCAAAUUAGUCCCAACAGCAGAGCGGCAGUGGACGGCUUUCGUCGGAUCGAUCUUGAAGUAAAUAUUCACAUGUUUGAUUGGAGUAUAACCUGGAAACAAAAUCAAUCUCGAAAGAUUACAGAGAGUGAGGAGGCCGCAUGAAGAGAUAGAGAGAGAGAGAGAUAGAGUGUUUGCUGAAGCUCACCUCGGUGUGUUGGCAUCGGAUAUGUGGCGUUCAAUGCGGACUCCUUAGCCAAACACUAAGUUAUUUAAACAGGUCUGAGAUUAUUCUGAGAUGGCAUCGGAUAUGUGAAGCACUCAAUCUCUAUAGCCAAACACUAUGCAUGCUGAAAUAACUAAGUUUUGUUUUCAACAGAAUUCUGAGAUUAUUCCAUUCUCAAGCAAGUACACAUAUGUGAAACACCUUUUCAGUGAAGAAGCAUAGUGGAAGGCACCAUCCAGCCAUGAAUAUAAAUAAAAUGAAAGGACAACCAAUGAAAAUAUCUACAACAAAAGCAUUCCACUAAGAUGGAUCAUUAGUAAAUUACCAGUAUCAUGUAUCCCUUGGCCUCCUCUGCGAGCGCCUGCUAAAGCAGAGUAGAGCAAGUGCCAGGUAGCUUACUUUUUCAAACAAGACACACAAGCAAGAGUGAAGCUGCACGAGAAGAUACCUUAGAGAAGCCAUCAGAGUAACCAGACGGCGAGCUGAAUAAGUGUGUGACCUACUGGUGGCCGCCAUCUGGGUCGGGCCCCUCCUCCCACGGCAGCAAAUCCUCGCGGCACCACUGUCACAUGCUAGGCCUGAAGCGCGACGGAGUUAGGGUGGUGGACAAGAAGGGUGAUGCCACAGCGGACGGCGAGGCUGGGUCAAUAACAUGCCAUCAUAUUUUAAUUCUAUUUUGGCAAAAAGGAGAUAGAAAUGUAGCAACCUGGCAUAACUAAUUAACUAUUCUAAUUUAAGGCGGAUGAUUGCAUGUAAUCACUAAUCGUAAGUAAUCAACAAGGCUAAAUGAUGGAAUGAGAAGAAGAAUGUAUUUCAUGAAAUAGAGCAAGAGACAGAAACUUGAAAGAAAAAAAAAACACUCAACGCUUGCAGGUGAAGCACAUCAUAUAAAAUGGAUGGUCACCAAUCAGGAAAUGUGCAAAAUAUAUAAUGGAAUUUCUUUGAACUAACUACAAUACAUCGUCUGUGAAGCAAGAGUGAGAAAAUACCAGGAACAUGAUUAGUGUAGUAGUUCUCUGGCUCACACUACACAGGAGCUGCUGUUGUGGCAGGAAUUAAGGGCAAGGAGAGUAGGAGCACAUGCUUGCUGGAGAUCCUUGGCUGGCCGGUCGAACACGCAGCCACAGCAGAGAGAGUACCACUACCCUAGAACAAGCACAUGUUAAAUGGAAAAAUCCCUAACAAGAGAUUUUCUUUUGCACAGGAAGUAUCAACGCCUCACAUUUUCAAAGGCAAAGGGGCUCCAAAUUUCACGAAGAUAUAAGAUGCUAAUAUAAGAUGGAAGCAUCCAAGCAAAACUUUCAUUCACCAAAUGAAGUGUCUUAACUUUGGUUGCUCACGCAAAAUUUCUUGUCAGCUGUUGCAUGUUCAGCUGGUGUCACCAACCUUGCAUAUUCGUUGUCCUUUAUGUUUUGCCCAGAAUGCUCAAUUCCAUUAUUGCAUGAUGCCACAGCUGAAGAGCUUGGCAUUCUUGCGACCGUCUUACCGCCUCUGUUUACAAGCCAAGAAAUAUUAGGAAAGAAAAUUGAUAAGGCACAAAAGCAAAUAUUAUUUAUUUGUGUUACAUUUGUAGGAUUAAGGUUGACAUAUGACUACCCUUGUCUAAAUUAGAGUUGCACAUGCCCAACUCCAUAUUAUUUCCGUUACAGCUAUUUACACACAUAACUGAACUCGCACUCAAAUGCACUGGUUUGGUGGCAUGGUGUAGUGUAACAAGCAGUCGCUCAAUCAUAAUAUUCAUAGUAGCUUGGAUGUGAAAUUGGAUACAUCAUUAGAUUCUUCUCAAAGCAAAAUUUUGAGUAAUGCUACUCAUAUCCUAGCUAGUCAAAUUAGGAAUGGAGAUCUGUGCUACAAGGAUUCCUAAAUGAAUCCUAGUCUCAUGAAACACCUGUUAUCUUCAUGAAACACAUGUUAUCUUUAAAACCAUGAUACUUGGCCACAGGGAACCAAAGCAACGAUCCAAAGGAAAUAAAAUUAUGUAAUCUGAAGCCAAUAUCAGAGUGUAACAUACUCAUAAGCUGCCUGAAUCGUUCUUGAAUCUCAUUCACCUUUCUACACUCUUGAAUCAACAUCCAACCAUUUUGAUCACAAAUCCCAACCUCACGCCACAUAUCAAACUAAAAACUGCAGACAUAUGUUUGCUAAGGAAACUGAGAUUUACGUAAAGCUCAGACUUACUAAGAAUUUCAAAAAGAUCUCUUCUCUUUGUUGUCAUUCCUCCUAAAUUCAGAAUGCAUGGGUCAUAGAAGAACACUCAUUCUUUUAGCACAAACUCAUGGGAAAAACUGGAUGUGGCUUGAGGAGAUGCCUCACCUUGAACCGGCGCACAGAUCGCCUCCGCCUAGCACGAGUGCCUUGUCCAGGGAGGAGGCCUGAGCCUCUGACGAUGACAUCGCCAAGCAGUCGCUCAAUCAUAAUAUUCAUAGUAGCUUGGAUGUGAAAUUGGAUACAUCAUUAGAUUCUUCUCAAAGCAAAAUUUUGAGUAAUGCUACUCAUAUCCUAGUAAAAGUUAAUAAAAUAAGCAAAUGUAAAAGCAGCAAAUAAUUCUUCAUAUGAGCUAUAAUAGGAAAUCGUAAUUACAGUAAAGUUUCAUAACAAUAUACGUCGCAGCCCAGAUAUAUUGUUACUAUGCUUUUCACACCCCAAGGCUUCCUCGACGCUGGCUUCUUGUUCUCUCAAACUUGGAAAGAGAAGUUUGCAUACUGAAAGUGAAUAAUACGAAUGCAAGGAUUUUACUCGGCUUUAGAGUGCCUGUGGACCCGAUGCUACCCUGCUCCCCCAGCACGGCGGCCUGUUGGGCGGCGAGGAAGAGGUAGCAGCGGCCCGAGCUGGCUCGGGAUGCAAUCUUCAAGUAUAUAUUGUGACCACCUUAUUUGUUGAUACUAAGAAAUGUAAGAAGAAGCUAGAGUAGUGAAGGUUUAGAUGUUGUACCUGGUCAGCAAAUCUACACUACACUGUUUGGAAGAGCGUCGGACGGAUCCAGCCAUUUCUGACCAGAGACGCACCAAAGUCUGACCUAACAACCCCUCUUUUCUUCUCUCGCCUCCUCACAUAUUAAAAAUAUUGCGUAUUAAAUUUCUUUAGCAAAGGAAAGCUCAAUGAGAAUUGAAUAACUUUGAAUACAUAAGCGACAAUUAAAUGCGGCAUUCAACCAAGGCAAAAAUUUAAUGUUUUGUAUGCCUUCUUUUUACUGUCGGCAAAGCCGAGAACACAUCCUCAGUCACCGCGGACAAAAUAAAACAAGACACAUUACUGAGAUUAAACACCAUGGCAGAGUACCAUUCAGUCUUAUGUGGGAUUUAGGCAAGUGUGCUACUGUAGUAAGAAAAUAAAUAAAAAGAUUAAUAUGCAAAUUGGCCUAUAGUUUAAAGAAUCAAACUCAAAAGGUAACUUCCUACCAUAUCUUCAGUGAAGAAAUUUAACUUGAGCAUAAGAGGGGAAUUUAUUGCUACACCUAUAUGCUUUUGAUCCUUGCACAGUUAGUGCAGGACAGUCACUGCUUUGAUUUCUUCCCUGGCCCAACUCGCUUUGAACCACCGGAGUUCCUUAAUUUCAAGAUGUGUAUAUAGACAAUUUGAAUGACUAUAUGAAUUGAAAGUACAUAGAUAAACAUAUAAGAGAAGAUGCAGCACCAGCACCUGUUGUUCUUGGGCGUCUGAAUCUGAUCAUCCUUUUCUUCAGCAUCAAGCGAAGAAGCAUCAGCCUGAGCAUCAGGGGUGGCCUGAAUCGCAAAACAAAACGGAUCAGAAUGCAAAGAUGUGUAUAUACAGCUCGGCUGCUGGAGCACAGGGUGCAACAGUUUUGUUGGCCUCACCUGCUUUGUCAAAACCUAAGAAAAGAAAACCAAAUCUUCUCUUCUAACUUCAAGUCACCAAUAAGAGAGGAAGCAGUUGGUACAGAAUAACUGCUGCAACUACGAAAAGAAAAACUGGAAAUUUUACUUAUGCACAGUAUAGUGCCUAGCCAUCAAUUGAAUAUAGGUGUAGUACAACAGCUCUUACAGACAUUAGCACAAACAAUUUGCAGGCAAACUUAUACCUGGCAGAACACAACCUAAGAGAAGGCAAAAUUCCACCCCCAAAACAUAGGCAGAAUGCAUAUGUAAGUGCAAAUCGCCAUGGUUAUUGGCCUAUCAACCAACAACAGUUCAGAGAGACAAAUGCUAGCAAGGGAUUGCCUAGAAUUUUGCCAUAUGCUCUUUUCUUUGUCCAAAUAACUUCAUAUUUGGUGCUGAAGUUACUAAUUCGUCUUGGAAGAAGGAAUCCAUCAUGAGAUGGAAAGGAGAGAAUAAAAUCACUGACUAUCAAUUGAGAGAGGGGAGAAAGGGAGUCGAGCUUACCUCGAUGUUGUGUAUCGUGGCGUCGAGCAAGAGCCGCUGGUGGUGCCGUCAUGGAAGGAGGUGCUCCAUCGAGGAGCCACCACUGGUGCCAUGGCAUCAGAAGAGGUGCAGCCAGGGAUGAGACGAGGAUACACCGCUAGACUCCUUCUUCCUCUUCCCCUGUGAGAUCCUUCUUUCACUCCCUCGAUUCACCUCUUCUCCUGCUCCCUCUCACUUGCUGCCCUCCAUCCUCGGCGGAUCCACGUCGCUGGAAGCUGGUGGGGCGAGGUGGCCGAAGGAGGAGGCGUGUGGAUCUGGGCCGGCCGGAUCAGCAACCCCGGCUCCUCCUGUUGAGCACGGAGGUCCUCAUUUUCUCUUUCUCCCGCAGGGACCGAUCCAUGGCUGGAUCGAUUCGAGCGUCGCCCUUCCCUUGCAGGUCGCUGCCGCGCCCGCACGCCUCGGGUUCGGUGAGAUCCGGGAUGACGAGGGGGGAUGGGAUGCGUGAGGGGAAGGUCGCCGCCGCGCCACCAUCUCCCCCCUCCUCCUCCGCCACCAGAGGGCGCCGCCGCCACCAUCUCCCCCCUCCUCCGCCGCCAGAGGGCGCCGCCGCCACCAUUGUCGAGGGAGUGGAGGGGAUGAGGAGCUUGGGAAGGCGGCUGUAGGGGGAAAAGAUUUAGGCCUUCUUUGGUUCAUAAGAUUGGAAAACCAUAAGAAUAGGAAAGUUAUAGAAAAUGAGAUGAUAUGUAUCUUAAAUCCUAUGCAUAGGAAUAGAAAAAAAGAUGCCCUUUGAUUCACAUCAUAGGAUUUUUUCCAUUGAGUCUAAGCUAAUGUUUAUUUUCCUAUGAAAUGUGAAGGUUGAAGGAUAGGAAAAAUUCCUCCAUAAAAAUAGGAUUUUAUUACAAACCAAAGAGCUCUGAAGGAAUUUUUCCUAUAGAAAUCUUAGGCCUUCUUUAGUUUGUAUGAAUUUUGUAGGAACUCUAUAUGAUAGAAUUUGCUAAGGAAAAAUUCCUUUGAAGCCCUUUGAUUUAUAGGAAUGGAUUUCUAUUCCUAUGUAGGAUAGGAAUCCAUCCUUCACAUUUUGGAGGAAAAAAACAUUAGUCUAGACUCAAUGGAAAAUUUCCUAUCCUAUGCAUCAAAUGGCAUCUCUUUCUCUAUAGGAAUUGAGAUGCAUGUCAUCUCACUUCCUACGAUUUUUCUAUUCCUAUAAAAUUAUUAUCCUAUGAACCAAAGGAGGCCCUAUCCUAUGAAAAUUUUACAAAAUUCCUUCGAACCAAAGGAGGCCUUAGGGUUGGAGACUGAGGGAACGGGAGGAGAAAGCGGACGGGCGCGAGGCUCAUCACGGCGCAGUGGUUUUUCCCCUCAUGUGGUGCGCUGCACCCCCACGCGCGGGCGCGGUGCGUGGUUUUUUAGCCGAGAUAAUUGCAUCUAUAGUCCUCGUACUUGCUGGUCACAUCCAAUUCAGUCUUGAAACUUGUGUAUUGCUUCAAUACGGUCCCGGUACAUGAAAAUACGUGAUCAAUACGGUCCCUGAGAUUGAAACGUCAGUCCUGGCUCUACACGUCACAUACGUAUCUCGUAUUUCUGUAGUGAAGACCACGUUUAUAUGCGGCCCAUAUGUCAGUGGGCCGAAUGGGCCGAGAAAUAAAAUGAAAAAAAGGCAAGGGGGAUUCGAACCCACUAGCUGUGCCCAACCAGUACCCGAGCCGGCCACCAGACCAAGUGUGUGUUCUUGUUUAACAUGGGGAUGCACCAUAUAUUAUAAGCAUAUCACUAUUUCUUUAAAAAAUUAUGUGUGAAUUUUAAAAUAUUCAUGAGUUUUUAUUUUAAAAAAAGUUCAUCGAUUCACAAAAUGUUCAUCUACUACCACUAUAAAAAAAAGAGAGGGCGAAGAACCAAACAAUCAGACCCAUUCAUCAACAAGAUUUAAUGGCUCUUAAUCCUCCAAUGUUUAACCCUCUGGUGUUUAACGAUACAAACCACGCAUCAAGCCACUAACCCUACUCUGUCGUUCAAAAAAAACUUUGGCAACAACGCACGAGGCACGACCUACUGCCCCCUCCUCCCAACGAACGGCACAACACGGGCGGUUCCUCCCGUGCGCCGCUCGACGCCCCGCUGUUCCUCCAGCAGCCGUUCGCCGCCGCUGUUCGCCGCCCGUCACGCCCUUCGCCGCAGGUCGCCACGGGCCGCCUCGCCCUUCGCCGCCGGAGCCGUCACGCCCUUCGCACUUCCCUCUCCCGAACUGCCCACCACUUCUCACGGGCGCCCUCUCUCCCGGCCUCCUCGCCGCCUUCCCGACACCCUCGCCAACGCGUUCUCAGCGGGGCUCCUCGUCCUCUCGCUGGACCUGGCACACUCCUCGGCGCCGUCGCCCCCACCCCCCACCCCGGGUCGCCGUCGCCAUUAUGCCCUCGCCGGCGCGCUUGUCGACGGUCUCGCUAAUCUGCAGGCGGAUGCCAAUCUGCAGCAGCAACACCAGCUUCUGCGCGCGGGCAGACGCUAAUCUGCAUUCAAGAGAAGAUGCAUGUACACUCGUGGCUCAUUUAUUUGUUUUACUGUUUGUUCUGUAAGUAUUCUCUAAUGCCAGCUAUAAUAGUGCUGCGGCGAACACUGUCCAUGCUGCUAGCGAUGUACGUGUGAGGAACAGAACGGAGCCAUGGUGGAGAACGUCAGCACUGUUGUGGCUUUUGUGCUACCCAUAUGAGACUACGUCUCCCUUCACUGAGUAAAUACAUAGGCAAUUCUUCAUCAAUCCCACUACAUGUUUGUCAUAGUUACGAGAUACAGUCGAUUGAUGCUUGCAGCCAUGAUUCAUGUUCAGUUGGACCAAAUCGGACAUGCUAUGAGGUCCUUAUUUCUCAAAGUUGGCUCUGUUUUAGUUAUGGUUUUUACUGUAUCUAAAUAAACAAUUUGAUUUAUGGCUUAUGGUGAAGGCGAGAGGAUAUUCUUUUCAUUAUGGUAAUUGACAGUUACAUAUGGAAGAGUAGAAUUUUCAGUUUCUUAUUUUAUUUUUUACUGUGGAUCGUUAAAGGAGAACUUUAGGUCUUUUAUUUAGGUUGGACAUUAUCAGGAAUCUUGUUCUGUUGCCUCUACUUACUUUACUCUAAGGCAAUAUGUCCUUUUCUGAAUUUAUUCCAAUAUUGCAGAGCGUCUUCUAAUUUUUUUCCUUUUGGCAUGGACUAGGAUUCACAUUGAGUACUACAGUAUUCUGUAGAGUACAUGUCUGAUUAUUAUUAUUUUCCCUAUACAUAUUCUAUGGAUGUGAAAUAGGAUAAUCUGAACUGAAUUUCUAUCAACAGCAAGCGGCUCAACGAGGACACUGAAUUUCUCUCCUGUGAGCGAUCAUUAAUCUCCCACUAUGUUCUGUACUUCCUAUCUUCUGUACUUCCAAGCUCCUAUAUUUUUGAACUAGACAAUCAGCUUCUACAUGUGCUGCACUUGCAAUAUUUCUUCUCAAACUAAACUUCUACACCAAUGCCAUUUUGUGUUUUUUUUAAACUCUGAUGCUAUUGUUUCAGCCAAUAAUAUUGAAAUGUGUUCCCCGAGCAUAUUUGAUAUUUAACUGUGCUUUGGUAAGGUGCCAGGUGUUACUGGACAAGUAGAUACAGAAAUACUUAUCAGUGCUGGUCAGCGGCAAGUAACAUAGGCAACAAUUCAAGUAUCAAAGGAACAUAUGGCUUUUGGAAUUCUGUUAGGAAAAUUCUCUUUUGUAAGAAGGCCAAAUCUUUUCCAAGGAUUUUCAAGUGACCAUGUAUUUCAGGUUUCUGUUCUGUCUCCAUUUCUAGGCUUCCUUGAAGUUCUAUUGAAAUGGCUAUUUUGAGUGUCCGCUAUCAUUUCAAUAUGAAGUAACAUGAGAAGUCAAAAUUUGUUGCAUUUUUUAUCCAUAUAUGAAAAGAAAUGAGUCUUAGCUAAAGUUCGAAACUGUUACGCAUAAAACAACUAAUCUGUCGCUAUAAACAAAAAUUUAAUUGUGUUAUGCUUCAUGAACAUAUUGCCAUCUAUGAGAAGAUAGUUUCGAGAUAUAUAUUUCUAUUUGACUGUCCCUUUGCCUUCUUUUAGUAAAAACAAUAGGGGGACGUGCAGAAAUGAGCCAUAUAUAGCGGAAUGUGCUAUAUGCAACACGAAUUUUACUACUCCCUCCGAUCCAAAUUAAUUGACGCAACUUUAGUUCAACUUUGUACUAAAGUUGUACAAGAGUUGCGUCGAUUAAUUUGGACCGGAGGGAGUACGUAUAUUUUGGAAGUGCAUUUAAAAGAAUCAGUGUAUCAGGACAUACAAUUUUUCAUCAUGCAUUGUGAUUGAUAUGCUACGAUAUAUAAUUUUGAUUGGUUGAUAGGCAUAGUUGUGUUAUUCUCGAAAAAGGUUACAUUGCAUCAGAUUGCUAAGAAUCAGUAACCUCAACAACUAUAAGCUCCUUGUCGAUGUUGUCUCGGAGGGCCAAACUCAGCAACCUGGUGUAUGACCAAAAGAAGAGGCUAAACUUGUGAAAAUCCAUAUCGACUUACCUGCAAGAAUAUGACACUACAAAUGUUCAACGUAUGAUAACAAUAGAACUACUAAUGGUCUAUAACUUCUGUGCACUAGCAUGUGACUUGUACUCUUGGAGGGACAGAAUUAAGCUUUUUAUAGUCAUCUGAUGGGAUGAUAUUUAAUUAUUUCUCUCCGUAUUAGUUGUCCCUUUGCUGAUCACAUGUUUAUUAUGGUGCCUUUUCUUGCUCUUCAAUGAAGCGUCUUGCCUUCUUAUAUCUUGACCUAAUAUUGGGUGUAAUGUACUACAAUUUUUGUAUACAUGUUCUGCUUAACUAAGAUGUGCUUUGAAUCCAAAUCGUAAGCAACUAUCUACUCAUCCUAUGCCGACUUCCAUGUAUGCUCAGUAUAACAUCAAUUGUAACAUAUUAUGUAGAUUUUGUAGAUUUUAUUACUUCCCCAUGGUUUUAACAUGUCAGAGUUAGAGAAUCAUCAUGCAGCUGCAUCUCCGUUAGGAUCAGGGGACGUUCCCCGUUUAUAAGACCAAAUGAGUAUAAUAUUUUAGAGUUAGUUCUUUUUUGACUGAAAGUCUGCCAAAAUUUACAAUGGUUGUGAGGCUUCUUGCUGUGAUUUGUCGGCUGAAGUAGCAGAGAUCAUCGUGGCUAAAUCCUUUUUGUAUGGUGUGAAAGGCUGCUGAUUGUCUGAACAUUCUUUAUUCUGCAAAUGAGUGUAAAUCUUGUCUGCCACUUGACUAUUAAUGAUUAUUUACAACAUUUGAAGAUGUGAGCAUAUGCAUUAUGUAUCCGAAUCUGGUAUGUUGUGAAGGUUUUUAAGUGACCAAGCACAUUUCUCAUUUGGCUGCUCAGUCUGUAUCUAUACACAAAACCACCCCGUGGGCAUGUACAUUUCUAGCUCUGUUUGAAGCCAUCUCUGUGCAACCAUUUUGUUCUCCAUCCAAAUUGGAUUCCCCUGUCACAAUACAUACUUAUUUUAAAUUAUCUUUUGAACAAAGUUCAUUCUGGAUGAGAAUUAUGUUUGUAUUUUGACUAUGAGUCACAAAGUUUUGGCGUGGUAGCUGACAGGGCUACUGACGGCGGUGGCGUGUGGCUUCUGGGACAACAACAUCAAGUGCUUCGUGUACACAUUGCACUCCAAAUGUCCGACAAAAUGUCCACACUAAAGACGGAUUCAAAUGAAAAGGAAAACAUUGCUACGUGGACAUGACCCGGUCGAAACCAUGCCGAGUCAGCUUCAGCUGAGUCGAGGGACAAAACUUCUUUGGUUUGAAAAGUUCAAGUUGCAAGUUGUCCUGUUUUUAAGUUGAGAGUAUUUAAGGUUUACUGGGCUGGCCUGCUUGUUGUUUGGCCCACGGGCAAUUUUUCUGCCUGGCCCGCUCGCUGUAGAAUAUCAAGCGGCAGGCAUCGGUCCCCUGCUAUUCCUCUUCCUCGGCAUCUCGGUCUGGUGGUCGAACCCUUCCUUGAGAGACGAACCCUAGCGUUUGCGUGCUGGUUUGAAGGCAUGAGGGGAGAUCGCAUCAACGAUCCUGUGAACAUUAGCUCUGAUGAGAACGCGGACAGCAGCUCUGAUGAAGCUGUGGACACGAGCUCUGAUGAACCCGCGUACACCAGCUCUGAUGAAGGUGUGGACAUGAGCUCUGAUGAACGGGCGUACAGCAGCUCUGAUGAUGGCGUGGACACAAGCUCUGAUGAAGGCAUGUGCUACCGUAUGAAGAAAAAGAAGCUUCAGAAGACGUGCAAGGAUGUGUGUGACUGCCCUAGAGAGUACUCAGUUGGAUAUGAUCCUAAUUCUGAAGCCGACUAGAUGUAUUCAAAGAAAUUUAUGAUGUCAAAGUGUGCUCGAAAACGUCUUAGCUGCUAUGUUCGUUCUGUUAAGCCUGCUAUUAGGCACUAUGUGUGUGAGAUGAACAAGACUUUCACCAAAGCUGGGCAGAGAAUGUACUUCUCUACUUUGUUCACUGAGAAGCACCUCAUGAAGUUUCUCUCCAGUCCGGUUGAUCGAAUGCGGAUUAAGCUUUCAUCUGGGCGUUGUUUAACCUAUGUUCAACUGAUGAAAGGGGUUGAUAAGAGGGCUGCUAUAACACAUAACUGGAGCCGCUUCGUGGAAAGAGCGAAGCUGAAAGAACGGGAAAUCUGUGUCUUUUCUCUCCGACAUUGCAAGGGGGUGCCAGUGUUCACUGUGCACAAAAUCUGAAGAGGUUUCUGUGAUGCAGUUUGGAAGUAGGAAGAUGGGAAGGUGUUCUGCAAGGGCAUGUAGAUAUGUUCUCUAGUACUCCCUCCGUUUUUAUUUACUUCGCAUAUUAGCACUAAAGUUUGACCAAGUUUAUAGAAGAAAAUAUAAAUAUUUACCAUAAGAAAUUUAUACUAUGUGGAAGUACAUUUGAUAAUGAAUCUAAUGGUGUUGAUUUCUUAUUGUAUAUGUUAAUAUUUUUGUCUA